UACGUAGGCAGCAAGCGUUGUUCGGAGUUACUGGGCGUAAAGCGCGCGCAGGCGGUCUUCCAAGUCAGUGGUGAAAGCCCGGAGCUCAACUCCGGAACUGCCAUUGAAACUGUGAGACUUGAGGAUGAGAGAGGUGAGUGGAAUUCCCAGUGUAGAGGUGAAAUUCGUAGAUAUUGGGAAGAACACCGGUGGCGAAGGCGGCUCACUGGCUCAUUUCUGACGCUCAGGCGCGACAGCGUGGGGAUCAAACAGG
rnacentral:rRNA from 1 species